rnacentral:rRNA from 1 species
UACGUAGGGGUGCAAGCGUUGUCCGGAAUUAUUGGGCGUAAAGAGCUCGUAGGCGGUUUGUCGCGGUCUGCUGUGAAAACCUAAGGGCUCCAACCUUGGGCUUGCAGUGGGUACGGGCAGACUAGAGUGCGGUAGGGGUGACUGGAAUUCCUGGUGUAGCGGUGGAAUGCGCAGAUAUCAGGAGGAACACCGAUGGCGAAGGCAGGUCUCUGGGCCAAAACUGAACGCU